GGUAAUANAUCGGCAAUGGUCUAUGAGAGUUUCCCACGGGUGCGUAACACGUAUGCAACCUACCCUUUACAGGAGUAUAGCUCGGGGAAACUCGAAUUAAUGCUCCAUGAAAUAGUUGAAUGGCAUCAUUUGAUUAUUAAAGCUGAGGUGGUAAAGGAUGGGCAUGCGUCUGAUUAGCUAGUUGGUAGUGUAACGGACUACCAAGGCGAUGAUCAGUAGGGGAACUGAGAGGUUGACCCCCCACACUGGCACUGAGAUACGGGCCAGACUCCUACGGGAGGCAGCAGUAGGGAAUAUUGGUCAAUGGGUGAGAGCCUGAACCAGCCAUGCCGCGUGCAGGAAGACGGCCUUCUGGGUUGUAAACUGCUUUUGCCAGGGGCUAAAAAGUCCAUGCGUGGAAAAUUGAAAGUACCUGGUGAAUAAGCCACGGCUAACUACGUGCCAGCAGCCGCGGUAAUACGUAGGUGGCAAGCGUUGUCCGGAUUUAUUGGGUUUAAAGGGUGCGUAGGCGGCUCUGUNAAGUCAGUGCUGAAAUAUCCCGGCUUAACUGGGAGGGUGGCAUUUGAUACUGUGGGGCUAGAGUACA
rnacentral:rRNA from 1 species